GGAAGGAUCAUUACAGAAUUGUCAACGGGUUGUUGCUGGUCCUCGAACGGGGACAUGUGCACGCUCUGUUUACACAUCCACUCACACCUGUGCACCCUCCGUAGUUCUGUGGUCUGGGGGACCCUGUCUUCCUGCCGUGGUUCUACGUCUUUACACACACACACUGUAAUAAAGUCUUAUGGAAUGUAUGCCGCGUCUAACGCAAUACAAUACAACUUUCAGCAACGGAUCUCUUGGCUCUCGCAUCGAUGAAGAACGCAGCGAAAUGCGAUAAGUAAUGUGAAUUGCAGAAUUCAGUGAAUCAUCGAAUCUUUGAACGCACCUUGCGCCCCUUGGCUAUUCCGAGGGGCAUGCCUGUUUGAGUAUCAUGAACACCUCAACUCUCAUGGUUCGCCGUGAUGAGCUUGGACUCUGGGGGUUUUGCUGGCCUGCGGUCGGCUCCCCUCAAAUGAAUCAGCCUCCCAGUGUUUGGUGGCAUCACGGGUGUGAUAAAUAUCUACGCUCGCAGUUGUCCACCGGGUAACCUUUGGCGACAAAGGUUUGCUGGAGCUCACAGAUGUCUCUCCUCGGCGAAGACAGCUUUUUGAACGUUCGAUCUCAAAUCAGGUAGGACUACCCGCUGAACUUAAGCAUAUCA
rnacentral:sRNA from 1 species